UACGAAGGGGGCUAGCGUUGUUCGGAAUUACUGGGCGUAAAGGGCGCGCAGGCGGCAGAUCAAGUCAGACGUGAAAGCCCCGGGCUUAACCUGGGAACUGCGUUUGGGACUGGUUUGCUAGAGAUCGGGAGAGGAGAGUGGAAUUCCCAGUGUAGAGGUGAAAUUCGUAGAUAUUGGGAAGAACACCGGUGGCGAAGGCGGCUCUCUGGACCGAUACGUGACGCUGAGGCGCGAAAGCGUGGGGAGCAACAGG
rnacentral:rRNA from 1 species